rnacentral:misc_RNA from 1 species
GAUGAAGAACGCCGCGAAAUGCGAUACGUAAUGUGAAUUGCAGAAUUCAGUGAAUCAUCGAGUCUUUGAACGCACAUUGCGCCCCCUGGUAUUCCGGGGGGCAUGCCUGUCCGAGCGUCAUUGCUGCCCUCAAGCACGGCUUGUGUGUUGGGCCUCCGUCCUCCUCCCGGGGGACGGGCCCGAAAGGCAGCGGCGGCACCGCGUCCGGUCCUCGAGCGUAUGGGGCUUCGUCACCCGCUCUUGUAGGCCCGGCCGGCGCUUGCCGACACAUCAAUCUUUUUUCCAGGUUGACCUCGGAUCAGGUAGGGAUACCCGCUGAACUUAAGCAUAUCAUAAGCGGAGGA